GUGUACGUGUACACACAUCGCGCGCGCAGGGGUGGAAAGCAGGACGGCCGAGUGGGGAGCAGGGUGGACGGCGACCGGGGGCGGGAGGGCGCGGAGAGAGCCCGGGGAUCCCCGGGACUAUCCGGGGGCAGGGGGCUGGCGGCGGCGGCGGGCACCGGGGGUUGAUACCGAGGGGCAGGGCUAGGCGGGCGAAGACGGAGAGGGCGCAGUGGUCCCGCGACCAUCAAACCAACAACACCGUCCUGCCGCCGCCGUUCGUUCGGCGAAAACGGCGGCCGACCGACCCCUACUUCCUCCUCUUCUUCUUCUUCUCUUCUCUUCUCUCGCCGCCGCCGACGCCCGCUCUCACAAGCGACGGACGUCGGCGACGUGGCGACGGACGUCGUCGACCUCCUCUCCGUAACGCCGCGCGCUGCGCUCCCGCCGCCGUCGUUAUCCCGCGGAAUAGGAUCCGUCCCGAUCGCGGAUGGAUCCCUUGCGAUCCCGGGCCGCUCGCCCGAAGAGCAGUCGUCCUCUUCGUGGAGAGGAGCAACGCGCGGGAGACAAGGAAGAGGAAGCAAAAGUCGCCAGAUACCAGGUAGAGCUAUGCGGUUCGCCGGCCUGGUACCGGGGCCUCUACUCUCAUGAAUGGAAGAGGGUUCGCCAGGAUCGAUGGUGAGGGCGUGCUGCCUUCCAGGGGAGGAUUGGUGUUUAACCGUGACGUUUCCAACCCCACCUGAGCGAGGCUACCGCGGCGUACACGUGCUCAGUUACGUCACGAGGACGAGUCAGGACCUUCGUGCCAUUCAGGUCAUCAUCCGUGAAAAGCAAACUGAAGGAUUCGCCGCUUUACCGGGGAACCUGCGUGAUCCCGAAGUUGGAAGAACAGACGAGACGGUGUCACGGUAAGAAAAAGAAAGAAAAAAAAAGCGGAAUGUGUGUGUAAAGGUGACACGAGCGUUUUUUCGCGUGUAGAAUGAUGAUAAUAAUAGUCUCGUGAUUUAUUUAUUGAUGGUUAAUUUAUCGAUUGGCUACAGUUUUAGUGUCUCGGAAUAGAAAAGAAGUUCCAUAAAUUCCGCUUCUCUGAAUUUCGAUCGAUGAAACCGCGCUUUUGUGAUACGGCGAGUACGUCGCACGCACCUUUUUUUAGUUCGCACAGGGAUCGAGAAAUAAAUGAAGGGUUACGAAGCUUAGCGUUCGCCUUAAAAAUUACGGAAGAAACAAGAAAAUUUGAAGAACUUUCAACGCGCUGAUUUAUGCAUGUACACCGAGGGAAAAAAACUUGACUAAAUCUCUCAGCCCGAUUAAAUUUUUCCAGUUCAACUAUUUAUGUUUGACUUUAAUAUGUAAAAUACUUCUCAGCUUAAGCAGUUGUAUAUUUAAUUUAAUUACAUAUACUUGAAUGAAUAAAUGCUUAAACUGAGGAAUUCAAGUUGAAGAAUUUAGUCGAGUUAACAACUCUUUUUUUUUUCGGUGCACGUAAAACAGGAAGUGUUAAAUCGUAUCUUAAUUUUAUAUUAUCUCACAUAUUUAUAAAUGGCUAUUAUUACGUAUUUCUUUUAUUAAUCUUGAUAAAAUUAUUGGAAAGUCGCGUGAAAAAGUUAAAGAGGGAGAGAAAAAACUUGCUCUCGCGGGGAAGGACAGAUCGAUAUAUCUCAAUCGUGUCGGCGUCGCUCUUACCUCCCCGCGACUUUAUAGCGCUUAUAAUUAGCUUCAUACCGCCACGCCCGAUUACACACCUUCCUGCCCUUUUGCGUUACUUGUCUUCGGACUCUUCGGUAACUUCGGGAAAGGCUAUUACCGAUCGGCUUCGUCGAGGACGAUUAAAUCAUCUUGGCCAAAUUAAAUCGUUACCCACCAGCAAUUAAGCACCUUGUUACGUAAAUUAAUCUCGCAUCUCAAAUUUCAAUUUUUACCCAACUUUCAAUUAACUUGCACAGAACGACGACAUCCUUUAAUUAUCGAUGUAAUUGCGUUGUAAAGUAAUUCCGACGCAAAGUCUCAAUAAUUUUGCAUAUACGUACAAAAAACACAUUUAUUUUUGAAAAAUGAAGAAUAAUCCGGCGUUUUGUUCGAAAAUGUCGCGCACGUCAUCGGACUAGGUGACUUCAUACUCGUUAUUGGAUCACGUAGCCGUUCGUCCCUCUCCUCCGUCCGAGAAAUUAUUUUUUCCGUCAAUAAUGGGGCAUCGCCCUACACGUCGCGCAGAUGUCACGUGUGACGGGGGCAUUUAAAUAUCUUCCUAUUAAAUUCCUGGCUCCGCUGCACGGGUGCCCCCCUGUGCUCGCGAGGGUUUAAACCCCCUCCCGCCCCUGUCUUUCUCUCUCUUUCUCUCUCUUUCGCGUGGAGGUAACCCUGACCCACAGCUUCGGCCGACGAGGUUCCAGCCCUUUGAGGGAAUGCCCCCAUUGUGUCGCGGAGACCAAGCACUUUUCCCUCUCCCUCUUCUCCCCCCUGCCCGCGUCUUUCUCUCCACUCGUCCGACGAUUCCUUCGCGAUGGAUAUGAAUUAGCCUUCAUGGGCACAGGGGGAAAGCGGAGUAGAGCAACUGCAGUAACUGCGGACUCACCCUCCGCAAACACGCGCCUUUUAAAACGAGUGGAACCCUCGGAGAAAGUACGACACGACUUUCCGUCCCCCUCAUUUUUUCGCGCGUCAUCGACAACAGGAAAAAAAAACCUGACGUUCCGUUACGUUUCUGAAAGAUUGGCAGCAGAGCUUUCAUAAAAGGAGGUCAAAAAAUAUUUAUAAAAAAAAAGAAACUGUUACCAUGUGAUGUUUUUUUUUUCCAAUUUCUCUUUCCCGAAAUCUGUUGAUUUGCGUUUUGGCAUUAGCCUGCGAGUAUACACAAUGUAAAUCAAUUUAAUUAACCCAAUUACUCAACACAAACAGAACAAUAAAUGGACUAUUCGAUUAAUUGAUAAACAAGUCUGAGAGCCCAUUUAUCGAUACUAGACAAUAAUUAGAGAAGUAUUUUUACCAGGAAAAAUAUGCUUCAGCAAUCGAAUAAAACUAUCAAUUUCUUAUUCGUUUUCUACGCAGCGUAAAUAAUAACUGAAUGGGGAAGGAACACUACAUACAUUUCUAUUUGGAUUAUUUAGCGUUUGUUUAUAAAGAUUAGUUAGAAUUAAGCAAUCACAAAAAAUUAGUAACAAUUCAAUUAAUUUUACAUUUUGAUUUCUCUGUUUUCGAUUCCUCGGCCAUGAGAUUUUAUGUAAAUAAAUUUAAACACAGUGCGGAUGAAUGAAAUUAAACGGUAAUUAAUCGGUAAUUAAUCGGAUUAUAAUUAAUCGGAUUAAGCAUAAAGUUGUGGGAAAACCAAUGGGACGGAGAUCGCCGGCACGAGGUGUCAUCGCGUCGGACAAUCGGGUUCGAUGACCGGGAUGAGAAAAAGCGUCGUUAAUGGAACACAGAGUGUCGAAGUGGAAAACCUCGAUCCUGUGGAAACUAUCAAUCAGGAUCACCGUCGGACUGUAACGCUAGUUACAGCAUCCCAUAUGCUCGCCGGCGUGAAAAGCGCGUAAGCCCACGGUGGUCGACGACGAGAGGGGGUGGCGGUAAAGGGACGGACGGGAGGGGGAGGAAGGAGGGUGGAUUUCUCGAUUAUGCGAAUAUCUACGGGCACAAUGGGACCCCAAUGUCAGCUGCUCCCAUCAUCCCCUCGUCCAUCGAGCGACGUGGUGUCUCGUGCACUUCCACUCUCCUCCCCUCUCCCCCAACCCCCUCCACCCCCCGCGAAAUAAGCAAUAAGUUACGUUAGCACUGUGACGAACCACUGCUCCCCUCCACGAUCCCCCUCGCGCACGGCACCGACCCCCCCUUGACCGAGGGCACGCGCCGGGGUGAACGUCCCCCAUAGUGCAGUUUCGGCGUUCAUCAUGCUCGCUUCGAGUCUGUGCGAUGUAUCCGGUGUCCCAGAAUUAACGCGAUCAUUAGCAGCGAGAUCGGAAGGGUCGCUUCUUUCCUUCUUUUCGCGUGUAGAAGCCAAUUCCUUUUCUCUUAGUGAUGGUUGCGUGAGCCAAUUAUGAGCGAGAUUUCGUUUCUCUAGUGCCAUAAUCUUUCUCUGAUACGUCGUAGUUUUUCAAAAUUUAAUAUUUAGUGCGCAGUCAUGUCGGAAAGAAAUUCAAAUAAAGAAAAAACGAUUGGUGAAGAACGGAUUGCAAUUGUUUCCGGUGCCGAAUAUUCAUCUCGGCGUUAAUUUUACGCGACUGUGUGGAUGACUAUUUGGAAAAAAUAUUUCGCUACUGUCCCAGAUAUGCUUUUAUAUUUUAUUAAAUAAGUGCGCAAUUAAUUGUAAGUGCAAAAAAGAAAAGAAACGUCGAUGAGAAAUAAUAGUUUGCUGUGCUUAUCAAUGAAAUCUGUUUCACAUUCCGAAGGUUCUUCUCAUAGACAGUGAUGCAAAAUGCGUAAUUUGUCCAACUGUUGUUACCGAUCGAUCAUAAUAAAUGUAAGAUUAAGAAGCCCGUCAGAGACGUGUGCGAAAUAUUUCCCCCAGGGAAGCUCGAAGAUGAGAAAACUGGAAGUAUCGUCGAAAGUGACAAAGUGUGUUCUCCGAGAUCUGCGAAGGUUGUAACGAGUUUCAGCAAGGCGCACGCUGGUGCCGGACACCCAGCGAUACCCCCGGAGGGCAGGAUCGGGACCGCGAAAAGAAGCGUGAGUCUGUGCUCCUUGCGUUCACUGCGGGCUUCCAUGUGCCAACUUUUCAAAAUUCAUAAGGCACGCGGUGAAUGCCAAGAGCGGACCAAAUUCAACGAUCUACGAUCGAACGUCGGUGGUAGAUUCAUCUCGAGAAUCUCUCUCUCGCGAUCGACCGGAAUCUUACGUCCGACCGCCGUUGGGUAAGGUCAGUAUCAACGGAUGACACGGCGACGACACUCCUCCCCGUACUCUCCUCCUCGAAUUUGGGGAAUGUAAACACUAUUGAUUUUUGUGCGUCCGCUUCUUCUUUAAGUAACGGCUGCGUCAAACACACUUUUAGACGUACUCUUUACGCUCAAAUGUCUUCUCUGGUUUAUGGUAUUUAUAAUUGCUGCCUUAAGUAUAGCAUAUUCAUAUAAGCUUUGCUUUGAUUAAUAACUAUUAAUUAUCUUUAUUAAUCGCACUUUGAAAUAAUCUCGAUUAUAAGACUUAUAUUUGAUUUUUAGUAAAAUGGCCGUUUCGUCACUGUCUUCACUUACUUCCUAAAAUCUUAUAAAAAUGUAAAGUAAAUUUAAUUAAUUAAACUUGAUUCUUUAAAUUUAAAUGUAAAUUGCGUAAUUAUUAUUUUUAUUACAUGUAAAAAGAUAUUUUGUAUGUAACAUUCUGUGACACACGUUGAUAAGUGAUGAUGUAUUUGUCAUAAGUUCGUAAUAUUUACAAUAUUUGUAUAAUGUUCGACAUUUUCAAUGUAAUUUAGAAAUUUCCCAUUUUUUUUAUUUUAUUUGUUUACAAAUUUAUGCAUCGAACGCUGACGUCCUGGCUCAGUGAUGAGGCAAAAGAUCGCUUUGUCGAAUAUAAAAAAAUUAGUUAUAGAUCGGAUUCCUGAUCUUUUCUGUCAAGCGCAUCAAGCAUCCAGAUAGAAAGAGAAAGGUGAUAGAGUGGUUAACGGUAAUGGUGGAAAACAAGCGUUCCCCGACAGACGAGGUCGGGUUUAAAGCCGAAAAGCCCCUAAAUGGAAAUCGGGGAAUUCCCAGGGCGUAGAAGACGAGAACGACUGUCGGUUGUAUCGACCGAGACGAAAGGGCGGCGAAGGGAGAUGACGGGGCGAUGGUGGGGAUGCUGCGCGGUUUAAGGGUGGACGCACGUUGCCUGGCAACCUUCCCGCAGCAUCCCUCCUGGACCACCGCCGCCGCCACCGCCACCGCCCCUAUCCACACCGCCGCCAUCGACGACUUCCACGAUCAUUGUUGUCGUCGUUGUUGCGCGUCCGCCAUUAUUCAGGAUCGAUAUCUCGCCCCGAGACGUCUCCUUUUCUCGAUUCGUCGUGAUUUCUGUGUGUACAGGAGCACGCGCGCGCGCUUCUUUUCCAGGAGAAUCCUAGAAUCCGAUAGUUUGCAUCAAAAUUGGAAACUGGAGUUUGCGUGCAAUUGAGAGACUCUAUGUCGGUAUUUUAGAAUUUUUAGAUAUUCAGCGAGGGAAGGUAAAGUCGAGGAUUCGAGGAUUCUCUAGAGAGAAGUCAGUAUCCGUGAAAAAUCCAAGAAAUCCUAGACUUCGAGGAUUCUUAGAUUCCAAGGAUCUCAAAAAAUUUCAUGACCUAAAAAGGAACAGGAAAUUUGUUAAUUUUUAAGUUGGGAAAUUGUGGUUUUGGACAUACCAGUAUUUCAUAUCUCCUAUUUUAUCAGAGUAUAAAAAUUUAGGCUUUGCAGGUACUAAAAAUCUUUCGUUAAAGAAUAUUUCCUGUAAUUUGGAGCAUUUCUAUUUUAAUUAGCUAUAUGAAAAAUACCAAACAGAAAAGCUUUCGUUUCGAAGGCAAAUAACGAUAUGAGCAGGCAGCAUUUUUUUGUCUAAUUUAUUAGCUUAUUACAAGAACAUCAACAUUCUUUUAAAUGGCAUGUAAAUGCAAACUUUUUUAUAUUAAUGCUUAAGGUUAACAUAUUCUAAGUAGUUGAAUUUGUCUUUCAUGAGCUGUAUUACUAGAUUGAUAAAAAUAUGCUAUUCCAUUUUUUAAAAAAUGUUGAUGAUCUCUAAACGUGUUACGGAAAAAUACUGUAAAGUAUUAUAAAUGUAUAGGGAAAAAGUUCAAUCCAGAAUCUAAAAAUUUUACGACCUAGAAAAGAAUAGAAAAUUGUUAAUAUUAAAUUUUUCAAAGUUGUAACUAUAAAUUUUAGACAUGUCAGUAUUUCAUUUUAUUUUAUCAGAGACAAAACUUUUAAAGACACUAAAUCUUCGGUUAUAGAACACCACGUUUAUUAAUAGCGAAAAGAUAUAUACGUAUAUAAUAUUGUAAAUAUUAGAGCAAAAAUGAGAGUGACACUAUAAAGAUACUUUAAUCCUACAAAUAAUAUUAGAUAUCAAAUAUUAUGUAGAACAUUGAUGUGUGAAAAAUAAAAUGUGUAUUUAUGGAAUAA